rnacentral:rRNA from 1 species
GAGAGGAGCUUGCUCUUCUUGGAUGAGUUGCGAACGGGUGAGUAACGCGUAGGUAACCUGCCUUGUAGCGGGGGAUAACUAUUGGAAACGAUAGCUAAUACCGCAUAACAAUGGAUGACUCAUGUCAUUUAUUUGAAAGGGGCAAAUGCUCCACUACAAGAUGGACCUGCGUUGUAUUAGCUAGUAGGUGAGGUAACGGCUCACCUAGGCGACGAUACAUAGCCGACCUGAGAGGGUGAUCGGCCACACUGGGACUGAGACACGGCCCAGACUC